UUUUUUUUUUUUUUUUUUUUUUUUUUUUUUUUUUUUUUUUUUUUUGGCUUUAAGGUAAAACCCACACAGCCAGAUACAAAUUUUGUAAUAAAAGAGAGGGCAAGGAUUUGACACAAGGAUUACACUCUUCUCGCCCAGGGGCCGAUCAGGGCAUUUUAAUUGUUCAACUUGUUGUUCGGACAUUGGUGCUGUUUAUGAAGAGAUUCUCGGUAUUCCUUUGAUUUUUGCGAUAAAUUUUGUCUUCUUGACGUAUAUUGUUAGACCGUAUUCUGAUCCAUACUCCGCUAUUUUGGUCACCAGCCUCUGAAGGUCCUCAAUAUUUUCGGCUAAGAGAAGCCAUCAUCAGCAACUGGAACAAAAAAUUCUUUCUUAAUAAAAAAUAUAUAGUUUGCGUGGCAGAUUAAAAAAAAUACAAAUUAAAUAAUACAAUGACAGCAUUAUUAUUAAAAAACAUAGCGAAUGCAUUUUUAGCUUAAUUUUAAAUCCUUCUUUUAAGACAAGACACUACUUAAAAAACAACACUAAACAGAGAUCUCUAAUUGCUAAAAUGAAAGUGGUUGAUUAGCCAUUUCCAAACUAGUGAAAGCAAACUGAAGACUGAAAAUUCAGCAUGCCUCUGAAAAUGUGAGGGUGGGACGAGAGCGUAAAUUUAGACUACGAUUAACUCGCUACAGUUACUGAAAUAUUUAAUGAAAAUUCGCAUUAUUCCUCGUCGUUUCAUUUAGAAAUGUUAACAUGACAAACGCUCAGUCGCGAGAGGUAUUAAUAAACGUAUCACGUUUCACCAAUUUUGGAAGUGACAGAUGACAGUUGGUGUGUCUAGUGUGUUUUGAUUUUUGCAAUUCGAGUGUUUUGAUUUAAAAGAUACACUUAGAUCAGGAAUUAAAAAUCAGACUUCUGUGCAAUUGUGUAAUAAAAGUGUUACGUUUGUGUGUUGGUUGUGUUUAUAUUUGUUACAUCGUAAACUUCAUUGAGAGGAUUGUCCAGUUAUUUUCAGCAGGUUAACAUUCUACGAUAUCAGGACCGAUACUUCCAAAAUAGGACCAGUAAAUUGGUUGGAACAAAAUAGGACCAGUACGCGCUAAGGUUGUCUCUGUAAAAGAAAAAAAGAUGUAGCAGAAAACUUCAACUAGAUAACGUCAGGAAUAUAAAGGUAAG
rnacentral:lncRNA from 1 species